ACGGAAGGCAGCAGUGAGGAAUAUUGGUCAAUGGGCGGAAGUCUGAACCAGCCAAGUCGCGUGAAGGAUAAAGGUAUUAUGUAUUGUAAACUUCUUUAGCAGUGGAGUAAUAAGGGGAUCGCGAUCCCUGAUGCAAGUACACUGAGAAUAAGGAUCGGCUAACUCCGUGCCAGCAGCCGCGGUAAUACGGAGGAUCCGAGCGUUAUCCGGAUUUAUUGGGUUUAAAGGGUGCGCAGGCGGCUUUUUAAGUCAGUGGUUAAAUCGUGACGCUCAACGUCAUCACGCCAUUGAUACUGGAGAGCUUGAUUGCGGUCGAGGUUUGCGGAAUUCGUUGUGUAGCGGUGAAAUGCAUAGAUAUGACGAAGAACACCGAUUGCGUAGGCAGCAGGCCAGGCCGUAAAUGACGCUCAUGCACGAAAGUGCGGGGAUCGAACAGGAUUAGAUACCCUGGUA
rnacentral:rRNA from 1 species